AGACAUUUGGUGAGACCUGCUUUCUAAUCGGAUCUGAUAACCAAUAGUCUGACCAAUCUUCUCUCUUCUUUCAGCAGCAACUCUUUCAGCCACAGCAAUCGCCGCUAACCGUCUUGGUUGAGUGCAAAAUAUGCGACACGGGAAGAAUUAGAAAAGUCUUCAAAACACAACAACAAAGCAGUAUUGGGGAAAUGGUGAAUCAGCACCAUCAGCACAGAAUUGAACUCACACUCCGUAGGAUAGCAAUCAUCACAUUUUAUAAAAAUCUCAGACUGUAAUGGUAACAUUUUUUAAGCAUGUCUUUCGCAACAUAUUUUCCUCCCGUAAUUUACUGUAGUUUUUCACAGGAUAUUCAACCUACCAGCUUCAACAGCAAAUACAUUUCCCCUCUCUGUUUUUGGUUGAAGUUCUGUACGUUCUUUAUUGGUAACAGGAAAUCUCUGAACUAAACUUCUAAUAGCAUGCUUUGUGUUUGGAAUCAAAUUACAAGUCAUCACUGUAUGUGCUAAUUCGGAUCCAUCUUUUUUCUUCACAGUUAGAUAUCUGUUCGCUCCUUUCCUGUAAUAUGGAUGCAUUGUUAUAUUUAUCACCAGAAUGAUCCUUAACAUUCACUUUAAUCUGGACAUUAAAUAAUUAUCUCAAAGAAUAUUAAAAUAUGCUAGGUUUCUGUUUAA